AACGAACGCUGGCGGCAUGCCUAACACAUGCAAGUCGAACGAGUGCCUUCGGGUGCUAGUGGCGCACGGGUGCGUAACGCGUGGGAAUCUGCCCUUAGGUUCGGAAUAACAGCUGGAAACGGCUGCUAAUACCGGAUGAUAUCGCGAGAUCAAAGAUUUAUCGCCUGAGGAUGAGCCCGCGUUGGAUUAGGUAGUUGGUGGGGUAAAGGCCUACCAAGCCGACGAUCCAUAGCUGGUCUGAGAGGAUGAUCAGCCACACUGGGACUGAGACACGGCCCAGACUACUACGGGAGGCAGCAGUGGGGAAUAUUGGACAAUGGGCGCAAGCCUGAUCCAGCAAGGCCGCGCGAGUGAUGAAGGCCCUAGGGUUGUAAAGCUCUUUUACCCGGGAAGAUAAUGACUGUACCGGGAGAAUAAGCCCCGGCUAACUCCGUGCCAGCCGCCGCAGUAA
rnacentral:rRNA from 1 species